CAUACAUGUGCAUGUCAGCAUACAAAGACAUAACAAGAUUAUGUCUUCCAUUAACAAACUACAUCCCCUAGCACUCUAUAUCUCCUUUAAUACAACACAGUACACUUCAGAAAUGAACUGAAAUAAUGAAACAAUUCAUUUUCAAUUUCUUCGUGCAGUGAAUGUUGGGAGGAAACAUGCACAACAUUGAAGGAGAUAUAAGACAAAUCUCACACUUCCCCUUCUAUAUAAACCACAUAGUCCCAAAAGACAAGCCCUUUCUGAGGACACCAUAACACUUCUUUUGGCCGCUUCUUUCCACUUCAGGAGCUUGUGGCACUUUUUCUUCAUUUUGAGAAUCCCACAGCUCUUUUUCCAGACUGCCUGUGCCAGUUCCCUCUGCCAAGCCUAGAACCCAGCCCUUCCCUGCUGAGCCUGGGCUGCUCCCUGAUCUUCUGCUGUGUUGGUCCUUCUGCUGCAAAGGAGGUGACUUGUUCCACACAACUGCACUCUGCUUACAAGGGGAACUCGUCUGUCUCGGUGCUUCCUGCUCGACCUCUUCAGUGCCAUGAACACCGCCAGGACCUUCUGCCCCAUCCAAGGGUGAGCGCAUGGGGCAUCUCCGGCUGGUCCCACAGCAGUGGCUCUCUGGAGACGCAAGGCUGCUGACUGCACCUCCCGAAGGGUCAUGCCACGUUCUCCCCAGUUUUCACAGACCACCCCUGCCACACAUUACUGUGCCUGAAGGCUUUUCUUCAAAGAAAAAGAAGAGAAAAUUAUUUGAAAGAGAAAUUUUCAGCCUGCAAAAGCGGACAUAUCUAUUUGCAGAAGGUGGACUUUUAAGGACAUACAAUUUAGAAAGUGAAGAAAUCUUCUCCAAGUUUUCCCACCAACAUUAA
rnacentral:lncRNA from 1 species